UAAUACGAGGGGUGCUAGCGUUGUCCGGAAUCAUUGGGCGUAAAGGGUCCGUAGGUGUCUUUGCAAGUCGUUUGUUACAUUCACCGGCUUAACCGGUGGCCUGCAAUCGAAACUGCAAGGAUAGAGUUCGAGAGAGGAAAGUGGAAUUCCUGGUGUAGCGGUGACAUGCGUAGAUAUCAGGAGGAACACCAAUGGCGAAGGCAGCUUUCUGGCUCGAUACUGACACUGAGGGACGAAAGCGUGGGGAGCAAACAGGAUUAGAUACCCUGGUAGUCCACGCCGUAAACGAUGAGUACUUGAUGUCGGAGGAUUCGACCCCUUCGGUAUCGUAGCUAACGCGUUAAGUACUCCGCCUGGGGACUACGGCCGCAAGGCUG
rnacentral:rRNA from 1 species